AGUGGAUGGGGAGCAACCUAGUUGUGCGUGUGUAAAGGUAGUGCCAAGAAAAGCGAUGAUCAUGUUGAAAAUCAAUUCCCGGUACCCGAAACCGACACAGGUGGGCAAGUAGAGAAUACUAAGGGGCGCGAGGUAACUCUCUCCAAGGAACUCGGCAAAAUGACCCCGUAACUUGGGGAGAAGGGGUGCCACCGAGAGGUGGUCGCAGUGAAGAGGCCCAGGCGACUGUUUAGCAAAAACAUAGGUCUCUGCAAACUCGAAAGAGGAGGUAUAGGGGCUGACGCCUGCCCAGUGCCGGAAGGUUAAAGAAGUUGGUCAGUUUUAGGAUGAAGCUAGCGACUGAAGCCCCGGUGAACGGCGGCCGUAACUAUAACGGUCCUAAGGUAGCGAAAUUCCUUGUCGGGUAAGUUCCGACCCGCACGAAAGGCGUAACGAUCUGGGCGCUGUCUCGGAGAGAGGCUCGGCGAAAUAGGAUUGUCUGUGAAGAUACGGACUACCUGCAUUUGGACAGAAAGACCCUAUGAAGCUUUACUAUAGCUUGGAAUUGUGUUCGGGCUUCCUGUGCGCAGGAUAGGUGGGAGGCGUAGAAGGUAUUCUUGUGGGGAUACUGGAGCCAACGGUGAGAUAUCACUCUCAGGAGGCUAGAAUUCUAACUUAAUUAAGGACAGUUUCAGGUGGGUAGUUUGACUGGGGCGGUCGCCUCCAAAAAGGUAACGGAGGCGUACAAAGGUUCCCUCAGACUGGUUGGAAAUCAGUCGAAGAGUGCAAAGGCAGAAGGGAGCUUGACUGCGAGAAGUACAGUUCGAGCAGGGUGGAAACACGGUCUUAGUGAUCCGACGGUGCUGUGUGGAAGGGCCGUCGCUCAACGGAUAAAAGUUACUCUAGGAUAACAGGCUGAUCUCCCCCGAGAGUUCACAUCGACGGGGAGGUUUGGCACCUCGAUGUCGGCUCAUCGCAACCUGGGGCGGAAGUACGUCCCAAGGGUUGGGCUGUUCGCCCAUUAAAGCGGUACGUGAGCUGGGUUCAGAACGUCGUGAGACAGUUCGGUCCAUAUCCGAUGUAGGCGUGAGAAUAUUGAGAGGAGCCUUCCUUAGUACGAGAGGACCGGGAAGGACGCACCGCUGGUGUACCUGUUAUGAUGCCAAUUGUAAACGCAGGGUAGCCAAGUGCGGAGAGGAUAACCGCUGAAAGCAUCUAAGUGGGAAGCCCACCUCAAGAUGAGUAUUCUGGUGUAAGGUCACGGGAAGACGACCCGUAAAUAGGCACGAGGUGGAAGUGCAGAGAUGUAUGAAGCCGAAGUGUACUAAUAGACCGUCGGCUUGA
rnacentral:rRNA from 1 species